GACGAACGCUGGCGGCGUGCUUAACACAUGCAAGUCGAACGGAAAGGCCCUGCUUUUGUGGGGUGCUCGAGUGGCGAACGGGUGAGUAACACGUGAGUAACCUGCCCUUGACUUUGGGAUAACUUCAGGAAACUGGGGCUAAUACCGGAUAGGAGCUCCUGCUGCAUGGUGGGGGUUGGAAAGUUUCGGCGGUUGGGGAUGGACUCGCGGCUUAUCAGCUUGUUGGUGGGGUAGUGGCUUACCAAGGCUUUGACGGGUAGCCGGCCUGAGAGGGUGACCGGCCACAUUGGGACUGAGAUACGGCCCAGACGCCUACGGGCGGCAGCAGUGGGGAAUAUUGCACAAUGGGCGGAAGGCUGAUGCAGCAACGCCGCGUGCGGGAUGACGGCCUUCGGGUUGUAAACCGCUUUCGCCUGUGACGAAGCGUGAGUGACGGUAAUGGGUAAAGAAGCACCGGCUAACUACGU
rnacentral:rRNA from 1 species